UGGGGAAUUUUGGACAAUGGGCGCAAGCCUGAUCCAGCCAUGCCGCGUGCGGGAAGAAGGCCUUCGGGUUGUAAACCGCUUUUGUCAGGGAAGAAAUCUUCUGAGUUAAUACCUCGGGAGGAUGACGGUACCUGAAGAAUAAGCACCGGCUAACUACGUGCCAGCAGCCGCGGUAAUACGUAGGGUGCAAGCGUUAAUCGGAAUUACUGGGCGUAAAGCGUGCGCAGGCGGUUUUGUAAGACAGAGGUGAAAUCCCCGGGCUCAACCUGGGAACUGCCUUUGUGACUGCAAGGCUUGAGUGCGGCAGAGGGGGAUGGAAUUCCGCGUGUAGCAGUGAAAUGCGUAGAUAUGCGGAGGAACACCGAUGGCGAAGGCAAUCCCCUGGGCCUGCACUGACGCUCAUGCACGAAAGCGUGGGGAGCAAACAGGAUUAGAUACCCUGGUAGUCCACGCCCUAAACGGUGUCAACUGGUUGUUGGGAAGGUUCCUUCUCAGUAACGUAGCUAACGCGUGAAGUUGACCGCCUGGGGAGUACGGCCGCAAGGUUGAAACUC
rnacentral:rRNA from 1 species